AGAUUGAACGCUGGCGGCAUGCCUUACACAUGCAAGUCGAACGGCAGCACGGGAGCAAUCCUGGUGGCGAGUGGCGAACGGGUGAGUAAUACAUCGGAACGUGCCCAAUCGUGGGGGAUAACGCAGCGAAAGCUGUGCUAAUACCGCAUAAGAUCUACGGAUGAAAGCAGGGGAUCGCAAGACCUUGCGCGAAUGGAGCGGCCGAUGGCAGGUUAGGUAGUUGGUGAGGUAAAGGCUCACCAAGCCUUCGACCUGUAGCUGGUCUGAGAGGACGACCAGCCACACUGGGACUGAGACACGGCCCAGACUCCUACGGGAGGCAGCAGUGGGGAAUUUUGGACAAUGGGGAAACCCUGAUCCAGCCAUCCGCGUGUGCGAUGAAGGCCGUGGUUGUAAGCUACGUUUGUCGAGGAAGAAACGGCGUAGCCGUAAGUACGGACGUCGACUCGACGUACGU
rnacentral:rRNA from 1 species